AAAUUAUAGCUAGAAAGGAUACGAAAAUUUUGUUUGGUUUUGAAAGACUCCCGAAGAGGGGAGACUCUCAUUCAAGUCUCAGGAUGACGAGACCCCCCAAGAACUCAUGAGAGACC
rnacentral:pre_miRNA from 7 species